ensembl:lncRNA
CCAGUUAGAUCACAUGAUUGUUUAAUUUACAAGAGCAUUUAAUACAAAAGGCUUCCUCAAAUGUCCAGACAAUGACACUCAGUUCAUGUUUAAAUGCACCCUGGUUUGUUUAAACCGUGUAUGUCUACUUUGCAAUGACUAACACGCGUCUUCCGGUAACCAACGAACUGCUAAAACUGACGCUUUUGGUAACAAAAUCGUAUGUCACCUUACUUCCAUGGUCAUCCGCACGAGUCCAUCGUUCUGGCAACAGCCACGCUGAUUGCAGGCAGGUAGGAGGAAGAACCUGAUCUGAAAAAGGCUUGCACAACAGUAAAUGCAGCACUGACAGCUUUGAACAUAUCUGGGCACUGCGUAAACUACGCCGGCAGCAAUUACUCCACGUUCAAGAUACUUUACUUGUAGCAAAGUCAUAGAAACGCAGUGAAAUUGCAAACCGGAAGCUUACUGGUGAACUCAAGUGCUACCGGCCACAUAUACCUGUAGGAGAAUCAGGUUUACCUGUGAUACCUUAGUGGAGGCAUAGGUAGUCUGGCCACCACAGGAAGCGACGCUGCGACCGAGAGCGCCCCCUACUGAUGGGCGGCGUCCGUUGCGUCGCUGUGAGGACAAGGAAAGCCCAACAAAUGAAUCAUGUAACGUGUGCAUUACGACCAUAGCCAGAUAAAAUAAAAACGCAGAGAAACAAAACAAGCAAACAAAUUAAUUACAACUAAAAUCGUAUUUACAAUAUCAUUAUGCACACCUUAGUUUGUGGUUUUAAAGUCAAUACUUUGGUCUUCGGUCAGAAAAACCCGGCCAAACCAGAACCGGUUUACUCCAGAUCAACAAGACCCAAGAUGGAGGUAUAUUUCUUCGAAGUCCCUCUGUUGGAAUUCAAGAGAAUUUUCAUACCCACAGUCCAAUGAGUCACACGUGGUCAUGCGUGAAAGAGAUUUACUUGGCACGCAGAUCUCGAGCGAAUCGGGGCUCAACUUCUGGCUGGAACUGGUGUCGUUUAGCAUGUCGUCGUAUACGAUAUCCAUGAGAUACUGUGUCGUGUUCUUAGGUGCCAUUGAGCAUAUUGACCGUGUAUUUCCGUCGACAGUCUCCGUCCCAUCAUGCAUAAUGUUUUCGCAGUUUUCGGACAAAGUUUGUUCUUGCUUGACCAGUUUAGCAACUAACCUCCUUUUCUGCUCGCAGCGAAUGUAUUUCUUGAGAGUGGCUUUGACAAUGUUGGCGCGCCACAUUUUCAGGCCUUCUUGUCGGGAACUUAAAUUGAGAAUUUUCCUCAGCCUGCACUUUGAAAGUUUGCCAGAUCUUCUGGAGUAACACGGUUUGAGUACUUCCCAUUCCACUUUGGUAUCCAUUUCCAAGCACAUUUCACGCACAAAAAGGUAAAUGUCCAAAGUAGUUCGUAUAAAAAGUCAGACAGCGAACGUUUAUCAGCUCGCAAAUUCACAAAUGUAAAGUAACUUAUCUGAAUGAGUGAAACAUAAGGCUUCCAGAGGAUUUAAAGUCAAAAGUUUUACGAUUACAAAAAUUACUUUAACAAAAACUGGCUUGCGUAGUGCAAACAGUCCAUCCACGAAGACUUACAAAAU